UUUGAUCUGUGAUGACAUAAACUCUUAUGGUGACUGUUGGAUGAAACUAGCGGAUAUGGGGCUGAGAUCAGAU
rnacentral:snoRNA from 1 species